AUUGAACGCUGGCGGCAGGCCUAACACAUGCAAGUCGAGCGGAUGAAGGGAGCUUGCUCCUGGAUUCAGCGGCGGACGGGUGAGUAAUGCCUAGGAAUCUGCCUGGUAGUGGGGGAUAACGUCCGGAAACGGGCGCUAAUACCGCAUACGUCCUGAGGGAGAAAGUGGGGGAUCUUCGGACCUCACGCUAUCAGAUGAGCCUAGGUCGGAUUAGCUAGUUGGUGGGGUAAAGGCCUACCAAGGCGACGAUCCGUAACUGGUCUGAGAGGAUGAUCAGUCACACUGGAAGUGAGACACGGUACAGACUCCUACGGGAGGAAGCAGUGGGGAAUAUUGGACGAUGGGCGAAAGCCUGAUCCAGCCAUGCCGCGUGUGUGAAGAAGGUCUUCGGAUGGUAAAGCACUUUAAGUUGGGAGGAAGGGCAGUAAGUUAAUACCUUGCUGUUUUGACGUUACCAACAGAAUAAGCACCGGCUAACUUCGUG
rnacentral:rRNA from 1 species